GCUGGGUGUGGUGGCCCACGCCUGUGGUCUCAGCUACUUGGGAGGCUGAAGUGGGAGGAUCACUUGAGCCCAGGAGGUCGAGACUGCAGUGAGCUGUGAUCAUGCCACUGCACUCCAGCCUGGGCAACAGAAUGAGACCCUUUUUUUU
ensembl:misc_RNA Metazoa_SRP Metazoan signal recognition particle RNA